UGUUUCACUUGGCUCCCACCCCACUUCCGCUGCCGUGCGGCGUCGGCUCCGCUCCCCCCAUCUCGAAACGAAACGAAACCCCUCCCUCCCUCAAACCCCAGAGCCCCCAAAACCACCGGGAGAUUCCGCGAGAUCUGAGCGCCAUGGUGGCCGCCGGGGCAGCAGCGGCCGCGCCCCGGCUCAACCCGUCGCCGUCCCAGCACCGCCGCCGCGCUUCCUCCGCGCUCUCCCCGGCCAAGUCCAACGCCAACGCCAACGCCAACGCCGCCGACGCCGCCGACGCGCGGCCCAAGCCCAAGCCCAAGGCCGUCUCGUCCCGCUACCUCCUCGGGCCCUCCUCCAGGUCCAUAUCCACCUCGACCUCGACCUCGACCUCCACCACUACUACCACCUCCUCGAGCUCCAACUCCACCUCGACCUCGGCCUCCACGCCCUCCCGCCGCUUCGCGUCGCCGCUGCCGAGGCGCUCGGUCUCCGUCGACCGCCCGCGCCCGGGACCCGCGGCCAAUGCUGCCGUCGGGGAGGCCGGGGGGCCCAAUGCGGGCACCACCACCACCACGAGGAGCCUCUCCGUGGCGUUCCAGGGCCGCUCCUUCUCCUUCGAGACCAGCAAGGCGAAGCCGACCACGUCCCCGUCCCCGUCGCGGCGGCCCGUGGCUUCGGCGGCAGGGGCCAUCACGCCGGAGAGGAGGCGGCCUGCUAUGGGGACAGUGCCAGAGAGGGGGAAGGGGUUUGAGGCGGGCCAUAGCCACCACAGAUGGCCAAUGUCGGCGAGGUUUUCGCAGGGGUUUGAGGGAAAUCCACUUACCAAAAGCUUGGAUUGCUCUUUGCACAAGAGGGACGCCGCUGUCCUUGCUGCUGUUCGGUCGCUGCGGCAGUCCAUGGUGUUUGAGGAGGGGGUUCGGCGAUCCUCGUUCGAUGGUGGGGACUACCUGAUGUCUUCAGACACAGAGAGUGUGUCGUCUGGGAGCAAUUCAGGGUCUCAGGAUGCAGGCAUUGGCAUUUCUCAUAGAGCACGCCCGGUGCCUAAGGGGAUGGGUGUGCCAGCACGGUUCUUGCAGGAUGCUGCUGCCAGCAGGUCGCAACGAUUGGCAGAUCCAGGCACACCAUACUUGCCGUAUACCUCUGGGUUGGCUGCAUCUCCCAGGACAGCACCUGUCAAGAAAUCACUGUUAAAUGGCUUUGUUUCAUCCCCACUGAACCGGCCAAUCAGGCAAUCUUCACCAAGUAAGCUUACAGGUAAUCCAUCGAGGAGGAUGUCAAGCCCAUCACGGGCGAGAAACUCUGUGGGGUCGGGCACUUCAUCAUGGGAUCAUCAGGGAAGAAGUUCAUCUGGUUAUGGUUUGGAUGGUGAAGCGCGGAGGAGGUGGCAUGGGGGUAGCAAAAUUGACUGUGAGCACCUAUUGAGAAUUUUAUCCAAUCGACAUUUGCAGUGGCGGUGUGUGAACGCACAGGCUGAUGCUGCACUUGCUGCACAGAAACUUACUGCAGAGAAAUACUUAUCCGAUGCAUGGAUUACUACCCUAGGGAUGCGUAAAUCUGUUGCCCUUAAGAGGUUCCAGCUACAGUUAUACCGAAACAAUUGGAAACUCAUGACAGUUCUAAAGGGACAGAUGGCAUAUCUUGAGGAAUGGUCUAUACUAGAGAGGGACUAUGCGGAUUCUUUAUCUGGAAUUGUGGAAGCUCUUACUGCCAGCAUUUUGUGCCUCCCUGUUACUGAUGGAGCAAAGGUUGUAAAUAGCAUACCAUUAUACAAAAUUGUUUGCACAUGUUCCCUUCUGUUCUGUAUAUUAAAGCUCAAGUUCUUCUUUGCUACUUUAUAUUUGCAGGCUGAUAUCCAAGAUGUGAAAAAUGCCGCUGGUUCUGCUGUUGAUAUCAUGCAAACAAUAGGAAGUUCAAUAUGUACUUUGUUGGCUAAGGUACUGUGUCCAUUAAAUUGCUUUCCUGUUCCAUUUGCUGUCACUAUUUGCUUGUCCACCACUACAUUAUUUUUAAUUUAUGACGGGCCCCUGGCGUAUAGAGCAGAAUUAGCACCCUGUAUAAUAAGGUUUUCCAACUUGUCUGAUUCAUGAUGGAUAGUUAAAUUGGUUGAGACUUUAAUCUGAUCCCAGCCAGCCAUUUCCUAGAUCAGACGGCUUUAAAAACCUUCCAAGUUUCUCAAGCAUAAGAACUUCUCUUCUUGAGGGUCUUUGUACUUCUGUAGGAUAAGUGCAUCCAUAUGUAUUUCCUAGUUGGGUUGAAUUGAAGAUCCUACAACUGAACUCAUUUCACGGUUCCAAUCAUCUUAAUAAUCAACUUUGCAAUAACCAUACCAAAAAUAUGUACUAUUUUAGGCAUGCACAAAAGCACAGCAAUUCUUACGUUUGGUAAAAUAUUUUUUCUGUGAUGCUGUAUUUGUUGUUUCGUUUGACUGAUGAAAUCACCUCCCGUCUGCAGCUGGCUGGAACAAGUAUUUUGGUUUCUCACCUUUCCAAAGUUGCUACCCAUGAGCGCACUCUAAUGGAGCAGUCCAGAGAAUUGCUGUCCACACUUGCAACAAUGCAUGUCAAAUACUGUAGCCUACAAGGGCAGAGAGUACAGACAACUGACAAGAGGUCCAUGCAUUCCUAGCAAUGCCACUAUAACCCCACUAACGGAAGAAUGUAGGUGCACUUGCAAAAUUCUGGUGGUGGCUUGGAUGGUGCCCACUAAGCAAUCUGACUCUGAAGAUGCUAUCUAAUCUAGUUCCAGUGAUCUAUAUAUGGUCCUCUAGUUCCAGUGGUCUAUAUGGUACUCUGAUGUAUGCUAGAAAGAGCAGAAGUGCAGAACAGAUGGAAUGCAAUGUAUAUAGAUGUAUCUCAUUUUGUUGAUUUUAGCUGAGGAUUAGGUCAGAUGCUAACUAGCUAGAUUGGGUUCGUUUUGUUCGUCAGAUGACUAAUGACCACCAGGGCAAUGCAAUAUAACUUCUAGCAGUACAUUAGCUUGUCUGCCUUAGAAAGAAACAGAUGGUGACUUUGGAGUAUCAUGGUUUCGUGUUGCCGAUCCAACUGGUGGCCCCAACUGCGAAUGAUAUACCAUGAUUGUUA